rnacentral:rRNA from 1 species
AAAUUGAAGAGUUUGAUCAUGGCUCAGAUUGAACGCUGGCGGCAGGCCUAACACAUGCAAGUCGAGCGGUAGCACAGAGAGCUUGCUCUCGGGUGACGAGCGGCGGACGGGUGAGUAAUGUCUGGGAAACUGCCUGAUGGAGGGGGAUAACUACUGGAAACGGUAGCUAAUACCGCAUAACGUCGCAAGACCAAAGUGGGGGACCUUCGGGCCUCAUGCCAUCAGAUGUGCCCAGAUGGGAUUAGCUAGUAGGUGGGGUAACGGCUCACCUAGGCGACGAUCCCUAGCUGGUCUGAGAGGAUGACCAGCCACACUGGAACUGAGACACGGUCCAGACUCCUACGGGAGGCAGCAGUGGGGAAUAUUGCACAAUGGGCGCAAGCCUGAUGCAGCCAUGCCGCGUGUGUGAAGAAGGCCUUCGGGUUGUAAAGCACUUUCAGCGGGGAGGAAGGCGAUAAGGUUAAUAACCUCAUCGAUUGACGUUACCCGCAGAAGAAGCACCGGCUAACUCCGUGCCAGCAGCCGCGGUAAUACGGAGGGUGCAAGCGUUAAUCGGAAUUACUGGGCGUAAAGCGCACGCAGGCGGUCUGUCAAGUCGGAUGUGAAAUCCCCGGGCUCAACCUGGGAACUGCAUUCGAAACUGGCAGGCUAGAGUCUUGUAGAGGGGGGUAGAAUUCCAGGUGUAGCGGUGAAAUGCGUAGAGAUCUGGAGGAAUACCGGUGGCGAAGGCGGCCCCCUGGACAAAGACUGACGCUCAGGUGCGAAAGCGUGGGGAGCAAACAGGAUUAGAUACCCUGGUAGUCCACGCCGUAAACGAUGUCGAUUUGGAGGUUGUGCCCUUGAGGCGUGGCUUCCGGAGCUAACGCGUUAAAUCGACCGCCUGGGGAGUACGGCCGCAAGGUUAAAACUCAAAUGAAUUGACGGGGGCCCGCACAAGCGGUGGAGCAUGUGGUUUAAUUCGAUGCAACGCGAAGAACCUUACCUGGUCUUGACAUCCACAGAACUUUCCAGAGAUGGAUUGGUGCCUUCGGGAACUGUGAGACAGGUGCUGCAUGGCUGUCGUCAGCUCGUGUUGUGAAAUGUUGGGUUAAGUCCCGCAACGAGCGCAACCCUUAUCCUUUGUUGCCAGCGGUCCGGCCGGGAACUCAAAGGAGACUGCCAGUGAUAAACUGGAGGAAGGUGGGGAUGACGUCAAGUCAUCAUGGCCCUUACGACCAGGGCUACACACGUGCUACAAUGGCAUAUACAAAGAGAAGCGACCUCGCGAGAGCAAGCGGACCUCAUAAAGUAUGUCGUAGUCCGGAUUGGAGUCUGCAACUCGACUCCAUGAAGUCGGAAUCGCUAGUAAUCGUAGAUCAGAAUGCUACGGUGAAUACGUUCCCGGGCCUUGUACACACCGCCCGUCACACCAUGGGAGUGGGUUGCAAAAGAAGUAGGUAGCUUAACCUUCGGGAGGGCGCUUACCACUUUGUGAUUCAUGACUGGGGUGAAGUCGUAACAAGGUAACCGUAGGGGAACCUGCGGUUGGAUCACCUCCUUACCUUAAAGAA